UACCACGCGUGAGCUCUCCUGUACUCUUCCGCCGCCGCAGCAAGCCGAGACUGAGACCCAGAGAACGCGUGCUGCGCCACCACCUCCGCGAUGAGGGCCAAGUGGAAGAAGAAGAGAAUGAGGAGGCUCAAGAGGAAGCGACGAAAGAUGAGGCAGCGAUCAAAGUAGGUGGGAAACAAGAAGGGGAAGUGUAGUCCUGCAUGAUUGCCUUGUUGUAUUGGGAUGAUGGUGUCUUCUCGUUCCUGAUGGUGCUUUGUUUAGGCCUAUUGAUUCCUGAUAUGUAGGUUAUGAAUGUAGGAGAUCUGAACCCUUGUAAUAUGAGGAUUAUCAUAUGCUUUCCUUCAUUGCUGGAUCCUGUGCUGUUUAUGAAAUAUUAGACUCUAAAUAUAUUUUACUAACUCU